GUGGGGAAUAUUGGACAAUGGGCGAAAGUCUGAUCCAGCCAUGCCGCGUGUGUGAAGAAGGUCUUCGGAUUGUAAAGCACUUUAAGUUGGGAGGAAGGGCAGUAAGUUAAUACCUUGCUGUUUUGACGUUACCGACAGAAUAAGCACCGGCUAACUUCGUGCCAGCAGCCGCGGUAAUACGAAGGGUGCAAGCGUUAAUCGGAAUUACUGGGCGUAAAGCGCGCGUAGGUGGUUUUGUAAGUUGGAGGUGAAAUCCCCGGGCUCAACCUGGGAACUGCCUCCAAAACUGCAUGACUAGAGUACGGUAGAGGGUAGUGGAAUUUCCUGUGUAGCGGUGAAAUGCGUAGAUAUAGGAAGGAACACCAGUGGCGAAGGCGACUACCUGGACUGAUACUGACACUGAGGUGCGAAAGCGUGGGGAGCAAACAGGAUUAGAAACCCGGGUAGUCC
rnacentral:rRNA from 1 species